GAAAUAUGAGAAGCAUAUUUUACAGACAAAGCAGCUCCCAUCUUCCUGCCCCCCCACCCUUUGUCAAUGGGCCAUUAAGGCUUGGGCCAGUCUAUUCUACAUAACAAAGAUCUACCUCCUUCAGGCAGAGCCAUAGUAGGAAUUGCGAAAGAUAGGAUUAGCCCUCUACACAAUAGCAACAGAAACUAACACAAUGGGACCCAUCUAGACGAGGCUCACCACAUGGCACCUGGGAAGAUUGCAUCAGCCAGCAAGACCCCCACCCCCUGGGAGUCUGACAACCAAUCAGGAUACUCUUUCGUGGCCCCAAGAAAUGCAGAGCCAGCAAGAGCAUAAAAACCCGAAGAUUUACUGUAUCGCCCCUUUUCUGUUCAGGAACUCAAGCCAUGUGAUCCUGUCCACCAUUAAACCAUCUUUCCAAGCAGUCUCCAUGUUUCCAGUGUCUGUUCUCCCCACUUGGAGCAGAACCCAGAAGGAUGUUUCUUCCAACAAUUGGCGACCCAGAUGGGACUCCAAGCUAACCUAACCAAUGGACCAGGCCCAGGUAAGCCUCCCUUGCUAGCAGCAGACCCAUUGAGUCUGUGGGCAUGUUUUCAUGGACCUUGGCCAUUUGGAACUAGGUUUUAAAGGGGUUUUGAGUUUGAGCUCAAAGGCUGCUUGGAAAGAAGGUGAGUACCUCUAAAUUUUAAUUUUGAAGUAUGGAAAAGCAUGGGAAAUUUGUGUAUGCCUGCAUGUGUGUGAGUGAAGGCCCUUCUCCCAAGUACAGCUGGAUCUUGCUUCCUCUGUGCAUUUCCUAGCCGCAGAAAGACUAACGGUCUGGAGAGCAUGGGGGUUUUGCCAGAGCACAGGACCUUCUGUUAGGGAAGGAGGAAGUGUGUGUGUGGGAUUCCACCUGGAAAACAGUCUGAUUUCACCUCUUUGCGUGACCUCUAGCCGCACCUCUGCCUACUGCUAGCUCCACCGAGCCAUGACCGGUAGGAUAGAGAAAGCAAGGGGGGGUCACCAAAUGUGGAACUUUGUGUUUAAAAGGAAUGGAAGCCAAGCGAAAGCCAAGCGUGUGAAAAAGGGGGGAUUAAUAAAUUGUGAAAGGGAAACCCGGUUUUGUCCAGCCCAGACACGGGGCGAGCGUGUGUGUGUGUAAGAGGAGGUGCCCACACCUGGCUGCAGGGGUCAGCAGGUCCUCGCGGAUCCCCUUUUUGGAUCCGAAAAGUUGUGGUGAUUCCCUGGAGGAAGGGGCCCAUACUUCGCAAGGGAAUCGAAGUCCUUCCCAGAGCUUUUUCCUCUGAAAACUGAGAGCGUGCCACCCGGCUAAGUCGAAGUGAUCCUUCCGGAGAAAAGGAAAGGGUCAUGGGUAGCGAUAGUUCGCGGGUGGCGGGGACCCCAGUAGAUGAAGUGCUCGCGGCCUGGGACGCCAGGCGGGUGCCCAUAUUGAGGGGCAUGGAUAAAAGGAAAUUAGGAAAAUUGUGUCAAAAAUGGGCUUUGCUAAGAGAUAACACCGGGAGACAAAUUUGGCUAAAUAAAGGUACUUAAAAGAAAAGGGAAAUAUAUAAAUAGGAAUGUUGGGGAUUUUGUUUGUUUUGUUUGUUUGUUUGUCUCUCUGUCUUCUAUGCAACCACGUGGUAUGUUUAAGAUUUGUGCCUUCCCUAAUUUAACUGAGAUUUAUGUGGGAAUGAUCAGUGUGUGUGAAAUCUCAGAGUUCUGUUUUCUUCUCUUUGUCUUCCUUGUUUUAUGUGUGUGUGUCUAAGUCUUUGUGCGCCCUCGAGGUAAUUGUAACUGUAAAAUGUAUCUGAUCUCUAGAGACAAGAAUUUUAAAUUGUUAGAAAAAAAAAAGGUUGAAACAAUGAAAAAUGGGAGAGAGAGAAAAAAGAAAGAAAGAGCCUUUGCCCUGUGUUUGUCUGGCCAACAAACACAGAUUAAAGAGAGCAUUUCAUUUCAUUUCUGUUUUUUUUCUCCUCUCUCUGUAUCUUAAAGUAACAACUCAAGUUUAUGAGGAAACGUUUUAAGUUUGUUUACAAGAAAAAAAUCAGUCUUGCAUUUACUGUAUGUGUUUAAAUGGGUUUACCUGUUCAUCUCUUUCCUGAAGCAUGUGAAUCCAGUUUUUUUCUUAUCUGUUGUGUCUCCAUUUUGUUGAAACUGCAUUAUCUGUUUAGUAACUGCAAUAUUGUUGUGUUGUUUCUUUUCAAACUCUGCCUGCAAGCUAUCUACCCCCCCAUCUCUAAUCCUGUUACAUUGCCUUUCCUGGGAAGAUUACCCACAAAAGGUGGGAGGGGACCCUGUUCUAAUGUCUUUCAGCCCUGCACAAAGGACUCUGCAACCUGUGGAAGCAGAGCACAUGGAUCCAGAUGCUGCCUCCAAAGGAGACCCUCCAUCUGUUUGAACCAGGAAUUGGGUUUGAAUCCAGCCUCCACUGAAAGUCAGCACAGCAACCAGAGUGGAGCAGACCUUUCCAAGCCUGACUGACCAGCCUUACCACCAAGCAUGCUACCCAGCAGACAUGAAAGAAAAGACCCUGAGAUGUACAAGUAAAGACCAAAAGAUUCUUUUCAAUUCCCAGAAGACAGCUGGAAAGACUAUGGGGGAGGGUGGAAAUUCAUUGUAAGGUUUUCUUUCUUGUCUCAUUUAUAUUGUAAUCAGUUUAUUGUAAAAAUUGUAUUUGGGAGUGAUUGCCACAGCAAGUUAUGUACACUCUAGAUUUCUGUCUGGUGGAGAGGAGAAAUAUGUCCAAAAUGUUUGUAUUGCCUGUAUUGUAAAAGUAGCUGCAUACACAUGCACACACAGAGAGACACACAUUAUUCAGAAUUAGACUGCAACUAUUCCCUUCACUUACCUCCACACAAAGCUUCUCCUAGGUUGAUUUUUGCUCUGUGGCACUAAAAGCCCAAGGAGUCUUAUCUCCCUGCUAAUUUGAUGGGAAGGAAGCAAUACCCCUCAGGCAAUUCCCUCACUUGAAGAGAUAGCAGAAAAGUGAUCUCCAAAACCCAAGCCCUGACUGUGACUCAAAUGAUGCUGCCCAGUUGCCCAGUAAAGGAAGAUAUAUUGCACUGGUGGUCUCAUGAGUAGAAAUCCCAGGGCUCAUUAUGUGUAACAAAAAAAAAAAAAAAAAAAAAAAAAAAAAAAGAAUGGAUAUUGUACACUGGCUAACCUCAAUUUGGACUCACAAAUCCUGGAUGCACUAAACUAAGAGCUAGGACAGGUUCAGUAACCAACCCUUGGAAAUGGGCAGCCUGCAAUUUAAAGGAAAAUCAUGGCUGUGAAAAAUUUUGGGACAUGUGUUUGCUUGAAACCUGACUGGAAGCUCACAGAAAGUAAUAUCUGAAGUCUGAAAUUAAUUGGCAUGGAAAAUUGGAUACUGUAAAAUUCUUACCAGAAAUUUUUUCCUGGCUGCUAGACCUUCAUGGUUGAAAGCUUUUGGAAGUCACUGAAGGAAUCCUUUUCUGUUGCCUCUAUCAAUGUCUUUCCCCUUUGCAUUAGAGCAAUUAAAAGCACUCAUCAAGCCUCCCUGACCUGAUCAAUUUUAAUCUUUUGCCAAGAACUUGUUUCAAAACUCACGUUUUGAAAAAAAAAGAGUAGGGAUUGUAGGAAGUUAGCACCCAACCCUUUCCUGGAAGAGUGAAAUAUUUUAGAAAAUAUGAAAAAGGCAGAAAUAUGAGAAGCAUAUUUUACAGACAAAGCAGCUCCCAUCUUCCUGCCCCCCCACCCUUUGUCAAUGGGCCAUUAAGGCUUGGGCCAGUCUAUUCUACAUAACAAAGAUCUACCUCCUUCAGGCAGAGCCAUAGUAGGAAUUGCGAAAGAUAGGAUUAGCCCUCUACACAAUAGCAACAGAAACUAACACAAUGGGACCCAUCUAGACGAGGCUCACCACAUGGCACCUGGGAAGAUUGCAUCAGCCAGCAAGACCCCCACCCCCUGGGAGUCUGACAACCAAUCAGGAUACUCUUUCGUGGCCCCAAGAAAUGCAGAGCCAGCAAGAGCAUAAAAACCCGAAGAUUUACUGUAUCGCCCCUUUUCUGUUCAGGAACUCAAGCCAUGUGAUCCUGUCCACCAUUAAACCAUCUUUCCAAGCAGUCUCCAUGUUUCCAGUGUCUGUUUUCCCCACUUGGAGCAGAACCCAGAAGGAUGUUUCUUCCAACACUUCCUAAUAUGGGCAUCCCACAUUCAGUCAGGUCUGCCUCAUCACGUUUCAAGCAUUCUACAGGGAGCAAGGCCAGCUGAUGACCUCACUGAGCCCACAUAAAUACAUCACUUUCAAAGAA